rnacentral:misc_RNA from 1 species
GAUAAGAACGCAGCGAACGUGCGAAACGUAAUGUGAAUUGCAGAAUUCAGUGAAUCAUCGAAUCUUUGAACGCAUCUUGCGCUCCUUGGUAUUCCGAGGAGCAUGCCUGAUUGAGUGUCGUGAAAUACUCUCAAUUUCAAUCUUUUUGUUUGAAAUUGGAUUUGGAUGUUGUUGUGGAUCUUGCUACGACUCAUCCUAAAUGCAUUAGCGAUCUGCCUUGAUCACACACAAUGUGAUAAGAUGAGCAUUGUUAUAAUCAAGUCAUGACUGCUUCUAACCGUCCCUUUGGGACAAACGUCUUAUGUCGUUUGACCUCAAAUCAGGUAGGACUACCCGCUGAACUUAAGCAUAUCAAUAAGCGGAGGA